GAGCAUAAUUCUCGAUAGAUCAUAAUGCCCGGAGUGGUUUAUGGUUAAAAUGAUUCGUCGCCGUAGGAUGGGACUGCGGCCUAUCAGCUUGUUGGUGAGGUAAUGGCCCACCAAGGCGAUUACAGGUACGGGCUCUGAGAGGAGAAGCCCGGAGAUGGGUACUGAGACACGGACCCAGGCCCUAUGGGGCGCAGCAGGCGAGAAAACUUUGCAAUGUGCGAAAGCACGACAAGGUUAAUCCGAGUGAUUUCUGCUAAAGAAAUCUUUUGCCAGUCAUAAAACCACUGGUGAAUAAGGGGUGGGCAAGUUCUGGUGUCAGCCGCCGCGGUAAAACCAGCACCUCAAGUGGUCAGGAUGAUUAUUGGGCCUAAAGCAUCCGUAGCCGGCUUUGUUAGUUUUCGGUUAAAUCUAUGUGCUCAACGCAUGGGCUGCCGAAAAUACUGCAUGGCUAGGGAGUGGGAGAGGUAGACGGUACUCAGUAGGAAGGGGUAAAAUCCUUUGAUCUAUUGAUGACCACCUGUGGCGAAGGCGGUCUACCAGAACACGUUUGACGGUGAGGGAUGAAAGCUGGGGGAGCAAACCGGAUUAGAUACCCGGGUAGUCCCAGCUGUAAACGAUGCAGACUCGAUGAUGCAUUGGCAUAUAGCCAGUGCAGUGUCGCAGGGAAGCCGUUAAGUCUGCCGCCUGGGAAGUACGUACGCAAGUAUGAAACUUAAAGGAAUUGGCGGGGGAGCACCACAAGGGGUGAAGCC
rnacentral:rRNA from 1 species